CGAAACGAGACUUAACCUGCUAAAUAGCCAGGCUGGCUUUGGCUGGUCGCCGGCUUCUUAGAGGGACUGUCAGUGUCUAACUGACGGAAGUUUGAGGCAAUAACAGGUCUGUGAUGCCCUUAGAUGUUCUGGGCCGCACGCGCGCUACACUGACAGAGCCAGCGAGUAUUUCUUCCUUGGCUGGAAAGUCUGGGUAAUCUUGUGAAACUCUGUCAUGCUGGGGAUAGGGCAUUGCAAUG
rnacentral:rRNA from 1 species